rnacentral:rRNA from 1 species
AAUGUAACCUUGGGGUUGGCUCUUGUCUAUGUUUCUUGGAACAAGACGUCACAGAAGGUGAGAAUCCCGUGCGAUGAGAUGCCCAAUCCUAUGUAAGGUGCUUUCGAAGAGUCGAGUUGUUUGGGAAUGCAACUCUAAGUGGGUGGUAAAUUCCAUCUAAAGCUAAAUAUUGGCGAGAGACCGAUAGCGAACAAAUACAGUGAUGGAAAGAUGAAAAGAACUUUGAAAAGAGAGUGAAAAAGUACGUGAAAUUGUUUGAAAGGGGAA